rnacentral:rRNA from 1 species
GAUGAACGCUAGCGGCAGGCUUAACACAUGCAAGUCGAGGGGUAACAGGAGAUUGCUUGCAAUCUUGCUGACGACCGGCGCACGGGUGCGUAACGCGUAUAGAACCUACCUUAUAUUGGGGGAUAGCCCAGAGAAAUUUGGAUUAAUACCCCAUGGUAUGCUAGAGUGGCAUCACUUUAGUAUUAAAGAUUUAUCGAUAUAAGAUGGCUAUGCGUUCUAUUAGCUAGUUGGUAAGGUAACGGCUCACCAAGGCGACGAUAGAUAGGGGUCCUGAGAGGGAGAUCCCCCACACUGGUACUGAGACACGGACCAGACUCCUACGGGAGGCAGCAGUGAGGAAUAUUGGACAAUGGAGGCAACUCUGAUCCAGCCAUGCCGCGUGCAGGAAGACUGCCCUAUGGGUUGUAAAACUGCUUUUAUAGAGGAAGAAACCGCUCUACGUGUAGAGCUCUGACGGUACUCUACGAAUAAGGAU